rnacentral:sRNA from 1 species
GGCUGGGUCCUAAUACUGGCAUCUACAACUAAUGGAUCACAACCAGUUACAGAUUUCUUUAUUCCUUUCCCACUCCCACUACUUCACUUGACUUGCCCUAA